GUUUAAUUUUCAUUGUUAUGAGGUGAGUUUUGUGUUAUGGAAGUUUGUUACCGAUAUUCUUAUGGUUUUCUGAUUUUUCUCAUAUAAAUUGAAAUCGGUGAUGGUGAUUAUGGAGAGAAAUGUGGAGAUAUGUAGUAGCUUUGAGUAAUGCACUUAGUCGGUUACAAUCAAACAAACCUCUUAGAGAACUGAUAUCUAAUAACCUCUACUUUCAUUUUAUUGUUAUUGUUAUAGAGCUAUGAUAGAGUGUGGUAAUACAAUACAAGGAAUUUUGAGUUAAUGUUUAUACAAGGUGUAUGGCAAGGAAGCUUUCAGACCGACCAGAAGGUCAAGAAGAUUAUAUUAACUGUUAAUGCCCAGGUUGGAUAAAGACAACUCUCACAGGUUUUACAAAGAACAAUACUGUUGAGGAAGGUGCUUGUACUUAAUGAACGUGCUCUUAAAGUUGCUGAGGUAUGUGAGACUACGACUACAUAAAUUGUGUGAAUGUUUUUCGUGUUUGAAUUAUAUUGUAUCUACACGACAUUGAUGAAUUGUGUUUAUGUGGUUUUGGUUGGGCAAAAUUGGAUUUGAAGAACAAGCCAAACAUGAAGGCCUCAAUUGGGUUUCUGUUUUUGGUUUAUUGUAAGUGCGAAUGUAUAAAUGAUGCAGGCUUAUUCUACUGUUGGUUUAUUUAUUACUUUUGCUCCUCUUGCAAAAAUAUGUCUAAUGAAUGUAUGUGUAACAGUCUUCUAACACAGAGUCUUUGGGUGAACGUAAAAGCUUGAUGACAUCACAGAGAUGACUUUUGAGGGACACAAUUUUAUUUUCAAUGUAUCUCUCUUUCAGGUUCCAAUUUAUCGUGAAGUGGUGCACAGGUUCUCUAGCUGUAUUUAAUUCUGACUAUAGUUCAUGUCAUUGCACAAACUCGAUUGGUACAAAGGGAGGGUCCUGUUAUCCUGAAUUUAGCACCAGAGUUAGCUGUUCAAAUUCAACAAGAAGCUAUGAAGUUUGGGUCACAGUCAAAUAUUAGAUGCACAUGCAUAUACGGUGGUGCUCGAAAGGCCCGUCAAAUGAAGCACACGGUUGAUCCUGAUUUACCUGAUUUUCUUCUGCCACCUUCCUUUGAACAAUGCUUUCCUAAGAGCACAAAAGAAUCCAGUCGUUCAUGAAGAAAUGGGUCAUGUGCUCAAAGUUCCAUUUCGACGCAUUCACGUGUCUGGUGAUGAAUCUCACUUUGGUAACAAUGAUACCAAUGGUCCUCAAAAUAUAAUUCCAAGGACAUACUACCGAAAUUGUGCAAAGAGUGGAUUGAGAGGAGAGAAAAAACAGGUCCUCCAAGAUUCACUCAGAUGUACUAUGCUAAGCAGGGAUUCAUUACCGAGGAGAUGCUUUAAUGUGCUGCUGGUGAGAAGCUCGACCCAAAGUUUGUGAGGUCCGACAAUUGGAGUUUCUGUUUCAUUUCUGCAUUUGGAACCUAUUUUCAGGAUUCUUCAUCGCGAGACCUAUAAAGCAUUCCAGUAUGGUGGAGAUGGUACUACUGAGCAUGUCCCGUUGCAUGGACCAUCUACGGAUUGGUUGCAUCUCAAUUUGGAGAUAUAACUACUGGUAUGAGGACUGAAAAUGGAAAGACUGUGAAAAUGUUCAUUGGAGACUUUUAUGUUAUCAAACAUGACUUCAUAGGAGAGAGUACAAUUGUGGUUGUCGGUAUUGUUGUUCUCUUUGCAUUACCCUUCAUAGUUUGUUAGAGAACAAUAUUCUGUUUGGCAAGCUAUACAGAUGGACCCGGAAUUCGCAAAGAACAUUGGGCAGAUUGUUCUGCUUGGUGGAGCUUUUGUAGUAAGGGAAAUGUGAAUCCAGCUUCUGAAGCAAAUAAAAUGAGCUACAUGUUCCUCUGCUAUCAUUUUCUGCUAUCAUGGGAGAAACAAAAUUGGUGCGUUAGCGGAUAACCUUGCUGAUAGACGUUGCAAGAUAUCGUUUAAAGCACCGAUGACUCAUGAUGCAAAGAGGGAGGAGAUUACUAAAAUCGGCACUUCUGGUGGCGAAGAAACAGUUGAAGGAGGAGACUCUCAGCAUAUUAAAAGCUUCAUUGACUUCAACUUCUGUUCUAACAAAUUGUCUCACCCUAUACAUAAUGUAGAAAUUCAUGCAUGAACAAAGGUCUCAGUCUAUUCCUAAAGAGUAGCUCUUGGAAGCACAGUAGUCAAUUACAACCAUUGGAUGUUGCAUAAUAGAGUUUUGAACAUAGUGGUGUUGUUUCCCUCUGGCGGUAUUCUAAUAUCUGAUCGUUGCUCAACGGGAGAUUUCUUUAUAUAUCAUUUACAACUUUAUCUUCUUUUAAUUGAAUAUAUUAGUUAUAGGUUAUAAUACUACCUCUGUUAAUUAACAAACAUGAAGUAGUAGCUAUUUUGGUUAUGGUAGUUUGCAGUUGUUAUCAGUAUGUAGAUGAUAUAAGGAGGGACUCUAUGGACAUCAUUUUCCUGAGAGUUUCAACAUUGUUUGCUUGGCUAAAUAGUUUAACUCAAUCAAUGUUUCAUGUACUGUUGUAUGUGGUACAGAUUGAGAUGACA